rnacentral:rRNA from 1 species
UAACUGAAGAGUUUGAUCAUGGCUCAGAUUGAACGCUGGCGGCAGGCUUAACACAUGCAAGUCGAGCGGGGGAAGGUAGCUUGCUACUGGACCUAGCGGCGGACGGGUGAGUAAUGCUUAGGAAUCUGCCUAUUAGUGGGGGACAACAUUUCGAAAGGAAUGCUAAUACCGCAUACGUCCUACGGGAGAAAGCAGGGGAUCUUCGGACCUUGCGCUAAUAGAUGAGCCUAAGUCGGAUUAGCUAGUUGGUGGGGUAAAGGCCUACCAAGGCGACGAUCUGUAGCGGGUCUGAGAGGAUGAUCCGCCACACUGGGACUGAGACACGGCCCAGACUCCUACGGGAGGCAGCAGUGGGGAAUAUUGGACAAUGGGCGCAAGCCUGAUCCAGCCAUGCCGCGUGUGUGAAGAAGGCCUUAUGGUUGUAAAGCACUUUAAGCGAGGAGGAGGCUACUUUAGAUAAUACCUAGAGAUAGUGGACGUUACUCGCAGAAUAAGCACCGGCUAACUCUGUGCCAGCAGCCGCGGUAAUACAGAGGGUGCAAGCGUUAAUCGGAUUUACUGGGCGUAAAGCGCGCGUAGGCGGCUAAUUAAGUCAAAUGUGAAAUCCCCGAGCUUAACUUGGGAAUUGCAUUCGAUACUGGUUAGCUAGAGUG